rnacentral:rRNA from 1 species
AGCGAACGCUGGCGGCAUGCCUUACACAUGCAAGUCGAACGGUAACGGGCCUUCGGGUGCCGACGAGUGGCGAACGGGUGAGUAAUGUAUCGGAACGUACCAUUGAGUGGGGGAUAACGUAGCGAAAGUUACGCUAAUACCGCAUAUUCUCUCCGGAGGAAAGCAGGGGACCGCAAGGCCUUGCGCUCUUUGAGCAGCCGAUAUCAGAUUAGCUAGUUGGUGAGGUAAAGGCUCACCAAGGCGACGAUCUGUAGCGGGUCUGAGAGGAUGAUCCGCCACACUGGAACUGAGACACGGUCCAGACUCCUACGGGAGGCAGCAGUGGGGAAUUUUGGACAAUGGGGGCAACCCUGAUCCAGCCAUGCCGCGUGGGUGAAGAAGGCCUUCGGGUUGUAAAGCUCUUUCGGCCGGGAAAAAAUCGCAUGGGUUUAUACCCUGUGUGGAUGAUGGUACCGGAAUAAGAAGCACCGGCUAACUACGUGCCAGCCGCCGCAGUAACAC